rnacentral:rRNA from 1 species
CCCUUAGAUGUCCUGGGCCGCACGCGCGUUACACUGAUGCAUUCAACGAGCUUAUAACCUUGGCCGAGAGGCCUGGGCAAUCUUGUUAACGUGCAUCGUGAUAGGGAUAGAUUAUUGAAAUUAUUAAUCUUGAACGAGGAAUUCCUAGUAAGCACAAGUCAUCAGCUUGUGUUGAUUACGUCCCUGCCCUUUGUACACACCGCCCGUCGCUCCUACCGAUUGAAUGUUCCGGUGAGCUCUUCGGACUGCGCGGUCUGCAGUUUCUGCGUUCCGUGCGGAAAGUUGCGCAAACCUUAACAUUUAGAGGAAGGAGAAGUCGUAACA